CGGAGGUGCAAGCGUUAUCCGGAUUUACUGGGUUUAAAGGGUGCGUAGGUGGGCCUGUAAGUCAGUGGUGAAAUCUUCGAGCUUAACUCGGAAACUGCCAUUGAUACUAUAGGUCUUGAAUCAUCUGGAGGUGAGCGGAAUAUGUCAUGUAGCGGUGAAAUGCUUAGAUAUGACAUAGAACACCGAUUGCGAAGGCAGCUCACUACGGAUGUAUUGACACUGAGGCACGAAAGCGUGGGAUCAAACAGGAUU
rnacentral:rRNA from 1 species